AACGAACGCUGGCGGCAUGCCUAACACAUGCAAGUCGAACGAGACCUUCGGGUCUAGUGGCGCACGGGUGCGUAACGCGUGGGAACCUGCCCUUAGGUUCGGAAUAACUCCCCGAAAGGGGUGCUAAUACCGGAUAAUGUCUUCGGACCAAAGAUUUAUCGCCUUUGGAUGGGCCCGCGUUGGAUUAGCUAGUUGGUAGGGUAAAAGCCUACCAAGGCGACGAUCCAUAGCUGGUCGGAGAGGAUGAUCAGCCACACUGGGACUGAGACACGGCCCAGACUCCUACGGGAGGCAGCAGUAGGGAAUAUUGGACAAUGGGCGAAAGCCUGAUCCAGCAAUGCCGCGUGAGUGAUGAAGGCGUUAGGGUUGUAAUGCUCUUUUACCCGGGACGUUAAUGACAGUACCGGGAGAAUAAGCUCCGGCUAACUCCGUG
rnacentral:rRNA from 1 species